rnacentral:tRNA from 1 species
GCUGUCGUAGUUUAAUGGUAGAAUGGUUCGUUGCCAACGAAUCGGCAGGGGUUCGAUUCCCCUCGAUAGCAC